rnacentral:rRNA from 1 species
CACGGAGUUAGCCGAUCCUUAUUCUUACGGUACCGUCAAGCUCCUUCACGAAGGAGUGUUUCUUCCCGUACAAAAGCAGUUUACAAUCCAUAAGACCGUCAUCCUGCACGCGGCAUGGCUGGUUCAGGCUUGCGCCCAUUGACCAAUAUUCC